rnacentral:rRNA from 1 species
AACAAACGCUGGCGGCGUGCCUAACACAUGCAAGUCGUACGUUAAAAUUCGCUUCGGCGGAUGAGUAAAGUGGCGCACGGGUGAGUAACGCGUGGAUAAUCUGCCCUUUAGCCUGGAAUAACUCAUCGAAAGGUGGGCUAAUACCGGACGAUGCUGUUUUUACUUCGGUUGGACAGCCAAAGGGUGCCUCUAUUUAUAAGCACUCGCUUAAGGAUGAGUCCGCGUACCAUUAGCUAGUUGGUAAGGUAAAAGCCUACCAAGGCGACGAUGGUUAGCUGGUCUGAGAGGAUGAUCAGCCACACUGGAACUGAGAUACGGUCCAGACUCCUACGGGAGGCAGCAGUGAGGAAUCUUGCGCAAUGGGGGAAACCCUGACGCAGCAACGCCGCGUGAGUGAGGAAGGUCUUCGGAUCGUAAAGCUCUGUCGGGUGGAAAGAAAGGCAGGGAAGCUAAUACCUUUCCUGCUUGACGGUACCACCAGAGGAAGCACCGGCUAACUCCGUGCCAGCAGCCGCGGUAACAC